CCUGUUUGGGAAGGAGGUGUUAAAGUUUAACAGGGUGUUAAACUUUAACACCCUCAAAUGAGGUGUUAAACUUUAACACAAGGUGGGUGUUUGGAUGGGUUGUUAAAGUUUAACACUUUAGCUGGAAAAUGACUGCAUUACCCCUCAAUAAAUGAGGUCCCAUACCCCUGUGCUGCUGUUAUUUUUGGCGCCAAAUGCUUGCUCUGUUCUGGCGCUAGGAAGUGCU
rnacentral:lncRNA from 1 species